AGGGGCUGGAAAGUGCUGAUGAACGCUCUCGUCCGGAGAGGUGCUGGCCUGACGGGACCAUAGGAAUAAAGCGAGAGAUCUCUUCAGAUCUCAGCACAAAGGCAGUAUGGAAUCAAACCUUGACUAAAUUACAGGCCGGGGAUAUUGGACCCCUAAAACCUGGUCUUAACCUCGUCUUGCAGUCUGUUCAGUGGCCGCAUGAUGCAUAUUGCACACACAACUGCUUUACCGUGAAUGUUUGAACAUAGCCUGGACAAUGAAGACGCCUCGUUCCCCGCGAAGACAAAAGGUCACACGCACACUUUCCCCAGCGUGCGUAUGGAGAAAAAAAUCUGUGACACAGAUGGUGAUGCCAAAUCCAUCGCAGGUGCCCUGCGCGCCGAGGCCGAACAAAGACAUUCCCUGCUCUGGGAAUACGGCUUUGUGUUGUGUUGUGCUGAAAUGUCUGCGUCAAGCCAACACAAUCAAUACGGCAGAACAAUGUCACGCAUUAACCCUGACAAUUUACCUCCUUAAGACCUCGACGCCGCUCACCUGCGUGACAAUUAAACCCUUAACAAACGCUCCGCCAUUCUUUUCGGCUGUGAAAAAAUCCUGAUUGUGGCACCUUUAAGUCCUUUUCACAGCCGAGGGGGAAGCGUCUCGAGCGACAUGAAUGCCCUUUUAACGAUUUCCUGCUUCAUUCAGGCCCUAUUCAGCAGCACAAGUGUAUGUGGAGUUCAUUUCCCUGCUGUUUCAGCCGUACGUGCGCUCGAGAGCUCUCCAGCCUAAAUGACCCUGAAGUAGUCAUUCAUCGUCUCAAUAGCCUGGCCGCGGCACCUCGAGAAACUCACCGCGCGCUUAAGCGACAAUAAAACCCGCUGCUUUUUUCCCCCCCUCUCUUUUCGUCCUUGAAAGGGAAGAGCGCUAUCUUCGAUCAACAAUUGGGCAAUUAAUCACAGCGGCUCGGGAUACGGACUUCUCUGGCACAAGGAAAAGGCCAAACGUGAAUUAAAAGCCUGACUGUUUAUGAGGGCGAAGUCCAGCGGCUACGAUAAUGCGUUUUCUUUUAACAGGGAAGGAUUUAUUAUUCCCAAAAUCUCGAAAAAGCGGCGGGAGGGUCGGAGCGGGUGCAGGGCUUCAGGCGGAA